rnacentral:rRNA from 1 species
UACGUAGGGUGCGAGCGUUAAUCGGAAUUACUGGGCGUAAAGUGUGCGCAGGCGGCCGAGCAAGUCGAGUGUGAAAGCCCCGGGCUUAACCGGGGAACUGCGUCUGAUACUGGUUGGCUUGAAUCCGGGAGAGGGAUGUGGAAUUCCAGGUGUAGCGGUGAAAUGCGUAGAUAUCUGGAGGAACACCGGUGGCGAAGGCGGCAUCCUGGACCGGUAUUGACGCUGAGGAGCGAAAGCCGGGGGAGCAAACGGG